UGAGCUGGGGGAUGACUUUGAUGCAUGCUGUCCUCCCCCCUCAGACAUAUUUCCCUUCCCCUUCUCUGGGGGAACCAACAGCUACUCAUCGCCUCCUCAUCCCUGAAACCACUCUGGGAAACUCACCCCGCCAUCACCCCACCUCUCUCUCUCUCCUCGUUAUCUUUCACCUCCUUCCUCACAUCUGGUUCACAAAACUGGAUGCAGUACUCCAUUUGAGGUGGAACUAGAAUUUUAUUAAAAGGUUGAUAUUUUAACUUCCUUACUGCUACACUUGAUGUCUCUAUCAAAUAUGGAGCAGAACAGAUUAUGUGCAGAAAGUCAGGGCAGUGAGAGAGGUUUACUGCUGAUACUAAUUCUGAGUGUGUGGAAUUUGUAUAACCGACUCAGUCCAAUCCAAAGAUUUCUGCUCUUCACAGUGCCCAGUGGCCAGUCUCCCUCUAUUUAUACCCCACCGCCUCUCACUAACCCUCUCUGAACCAGGAUCUACUCCAGCUGCCUGGGAAUGCCGAGGAGGCAGAACGUGCAAACACUGAAACAGUUAUGUCUGUGUAACGUGGCAGCGAACAUGAAGGAAGUGUGGGCCAAAGAUUACACAGAUAACUAUCUGACCCAGUAUGAUUUCCUCUACAUCAUUGGGCCAUUCAAUGACCUUGCGUCGAGUCUGGUUCAGGAUCUGCUGCGGUUACUGGGUGAGACACACCGUCUGAGCCGAGCCUACCUGCACCUUCUCUUGGUGCCGCACCUGGUUGAGCUGAAUCUGAGGAGCUGUUCUGGGUUGGUCAGUAACGCCAUUGGCCAAAUCAUUCAUGCUCGCUGCCAGGUACCACAAAGUCUGUGAUGAUUCAUGUCACGGCAAUAACCCAUCCUCUCAGAUAGAUUCAGUCUUAAACCUCUCCCCCAGGUACCCAUUUAUCUCGAAGUACACACACACACUACCUGAAUACAAGAGCAGGGUGUUUCCAGGGAAUUGGUGAGACCACGUCUGGAGUACUGUGUACAGCUCUGUGCCACCUGGCACAUCACAGGUUGGUUAGCAAGUUAGAAAUGUUUCGGAUUAAUGGAUCCACAUUCAAUAUGUGGGAGGCUUUUAAAGAGAGGUCGAUUCGAGUUCAGGAGAGAUAUGUUCCUGUGAAAAUGAGGGAUAGAAAUGGCAAGAUUAGGGAACCAUAGAUGGCAGGUGAAGUUCUGAGACUAGCUAAGAA